UCCUGCCUCAGCCUCCUGAGCAGCUGAGACUACAGGCUACAGGCUAAUGGUCCAUUAUGCCACCAGCCAUGUGGAAAUAACGUCCCAGGGCUGCCUCAUCUGACUUCCUUUUUCCCAAGACAAUACUUCUGGGUUCUGUGGAAGAGGACAUUCUUGAUUUGAAUGUUGGGCUUACGAGCAUCCUAAUUCUUACAAGUUCUUGCAACAGCAAUUUCACUACUAAAUAACAUCAGCAAAAGGUAAUGGGGUAGGUGGGAU